GCUAAUAUGGUUUAUUAAAGAAUUUUAAUUUGUGGGAUUAAAGGAGCAUUCAAAUGUUUUUAGCA
rnacentral:tRNA from 1 species